rnacentral:rRNA from 1 species
GAGUUUGAUCCUGGUUCAGGGCGAACGCUGGCGGCGUGCCUAAGACAUGCAAGUCGUGCGAUUCUCUGGAGCUCGCUCCAGAGGAUAGCGGCGGACGGGUGAGUAACGCGUAGGCAACCCGCCCACAGGACCGGGACAACAGGACGAAAGCCCUGCUAAUACCGGAUAGGCACCAGGCUCCGCAUGGAGCUCGGUGGAAAGGGGUAACCCACCUGUGGAUGGGCCUGCGUCCCAUUAGCUUGUUGGUGAGGUAACGGCCCACCAAGGCUUCGAUGGGUAGCCGACCUGAGAGGGUGACCGGCCACACUGGGACUGAGACACGGCCCAGACUCCUACGGGAGGCAGCAGUCGGGAAUUUUCCACAAUGGGCGAAAGCCUGAUGGAGCAACGCCGCGUGAGUGAGGAAGGUCUUCGGAUUGUAAAACUCUGUCCCGAGGGAAGAACACAAUGACGGUACCUCGGGAGGAAGCCCCGGCUAACUACGUGCCAGCAGCCGCGGUAAUACGUAGGGGGCAAGCGUUGUCCGGAGUUACUGGGCGUAAGGCGUGUAGGCGGUUCGCUAAGUCGG